UACGUAGGGGGCGAGCGUUGUCCGGAGUUACUGGGCGUAAAGCGCACGCAGGCGGUCUGCUAAGUUUGGAGUGACAGUUGGUGGCUUAACUGCCAAAGUGCUUCGAAAACUGACAGACUUGAGGGCUUCAGAGGGACACGGAAUUCCGGGUGGAGUGGUGAAAUGCGUAGAUAUCUGGAAGAACACCAAAGGCGAAGGCAGUGUCCUGGGUGGUCGCUGACGCUGAGAGGCGAAAGCCAGGGGAGCGAACGGG
rnacentral:rRNA from 1 species